rnacentral:misc_RNA from 1 species
CGAAAACAGAGGCCUGGCUUCACUUGGAGUCCCUCCGUAGAGCAGCCCGGUUUUCUGUGCAUAUUCUUUCUCGAGCUUUGCUAUUCAAGUCUUGUGUUGUUGAAGACGAUCUGGGAUAUUGUGUUUUUGGGAAAGAUGAAGAAAAUGAUAGCCUUAGGAUUUGAGGGUUCAGCCAACAAAAUUGGGGUUGGAGUUGUGACCUUAGAUGGGACGAUUUUAUCAAACCCCAGGCACACUUAUAUCACCCCUCCUGGCCAAGGAUUCUUACCUCGUGAAACUGCCCA